GGCGAUGUAGCUCAGCUGGUUAGAGCGUACGACUCAUAAUCGUAAGGUCCCGAGUUCAAGUCUCGGCAUCGCCACCA
rnacentral:tRNA from 1 species